UUACGGUAAAAUCCAGUCCUGCUAGAAGAGUGGGAUGUGGGUCUGGACCGGCGAGUGAAGAGUGAAGAGUUAUCCUGGGAAAUGUGGGCACUAGCUCUGCGACGGGACAAGCAGGAGCUCGUGAGUAGCAGCAUCCGGUGUUGCAACUCCUGACUGCAGAUCAGAGCCUCAUCACCAGUAGCCUUCUGACAAACAUACUAUCCCUGACUUCAGCAGGAACAGCAGGAGCACACUAAUAGGCCAAACUUGUUUUUUGUUGACCCCCUGAAGAGGAUGAAUUUCACUGAAAUGUAGUUCAGUUCUAAAAACUUACACUGAAUCUAUGCUCAUUGAUUUCCUCUUUAGAACGUCCAGUGAUCACAGCCCUGAAGUGCAUUGGAGAAAAUACUACAAAACAGAGAAAAAUCAAAGGCAGAGCAGGACUUGCUGCACCUGGGAUUUUCAGGAGAACAGCUGGCCUUCACAGAGUUGUUUUUCUCAUCCUUAAUCUGGGCAGCGCCAGGGCAGGUUUAGCCUUUCAUGAGAGCAAGUGCAAUACUGCUAAGAUGUAUCUCCUAGGGAGCUGUUACAAUAUCCCAUGGUUUACCGAGGGCUGUGCAUGCUGUUCUGUCCUCUGCUUGUAGAAGAGGAAAAAAACAUUUGGGGACGUGUAGGGAUGCUGACACUAACUUCCUUGGUGCUGAUUCUCUAAAUAUGUUUUAAACCGUAUGUUUCUCAGGUUAUUCACACUGUCUUAUUUAUUUACUUAUGUUACAACUGAAAAGAUCAGGCAUCUCAUCUCAGUCAAUUCUACCUCCCCUGAUCCUCAACAGCAGUUGAGACAAAUGAUAAAAGUUUUUCAACAAUAGAAAAUCAUGAGACUUCCAGGUAAAAUGUCAGAAACAAAAGGAAACAAAGCAUAAUCCAAAUCUGCUGCAAGAUUAACAAUUUGAUACAUUAGUUUCUUCAACUUUCUUGGUCUUUUCGCUGUAUCCAUGUUAAAAAGGUCAGAGUUUCAGACUACUGUUUUUUUCUGCUGUAGUUGUUGUAGAUUUCCUUAAGCCUUUUAUAACAGGCUCUUUAGUGGAGUCUGUUGUGAUAGGACAAAGGGAAAUUAUUUAAAACUAAAAGAUGGGAGAUUUAGACUAGAUAUAAGAAAAAAGUUUUUUUUACAGUGAGGAUGGUGAGGUAUUGGAAAAUGUCACCCAGAGUGGUGGUGUAUGCCCUGUCCCUGGAGAUACUCAAGGUCAGGCUGGAUAGCUUAUAUCUGAGCAGCCCAAUAUAACUGUAGGUGUCCUUGUUUAUUGUAAGAUAAUAGAACCAGAUGACUAUAUGGGAACUGAUGAUCAUGGACUGAACCUCUGAUUGACCACCUGAGGCAAGCAAUGAACCAGCUGCAGGAGCACAGGUGAAGGCAAUUCACCUGUGCUACUGGAGGGGGUGGAGCCUGGCUCCACCUCUCCUAGAUCCCAUUUAAGUGCUGACUGCCACUGAGGAAGGAUCUCUUUCUGGAGAUUGCUCCCUAUGGAGUUUAUCAUGAGUCUACAAUGGUGGGCAUUUUUCAUUUAUUGUCUUUCCACUGUGAUGAUCCCACUUAGCCUAAACUCUGUACACAUAUUGAUUGUACAAUGACCGUUAAGGCUCCCUUCCAUGAUUCCUUGCGCUAUAUGGCUCCUUCCAUUCUAUGGUUCCAUGAGCUAUAUGUCUGAAGCAUUACUAUGUGUUCUAUCAAGCUGAUAGUCUCCAGCAAGUCCUCAAGCACUGUAGAAUCCAUGCAGAAGAAAUUUGGAAGUCUUUUAAGUAAAGAUGAUAAAAUGUCUGACAAGGUGCUCCUGAAACAAGUUCUUCCCAUCCAAUUUUGGCAUCAGUAGCUGGGACAAUCAAUCUGCAAGCCUUCUGAGAAGAAAUAUCUUAGGUAAAUUUGACCAGAAAAUUAACAACACAGCCUUAUUAAUUCAUCACUGUGAAAAGUUAAGACAGAUGCACAGUUUUCCUGCCACUAUGCUCACAAAUGCAUACAAGGGCAAACUCUUCAGCUGGCCAAGUUCAUGAAAGGAUAGUAAUAUCAUUUAGAUCAUGAAAGAGAGAGAAAAGAAAUCACCUUCAGAGGGAGCUUCCCAGGGUAAGAUCAACAGCAGCAGGGGGAAAUGUACUGAAUGCAAAGAACAGAGAGAUGGAAAAGCACUAUUCAGUAUACGCAUAACUUGAAUCUGAACUGCAUCACUUCCUACAGUUACCAAAAAUGGGCCAGACAGUCUGUCAAGCAUCUCAUCUGAUCAUGCUAUUGCCAAGUGUAAGGUGGUAGAUAACAUCCUCAUAAUGAUAGCUAUACAUUUCAUCUCUGGUAGAUGACUAUUUCUAGUAGAUUACUCAAAUACUGUAAUCUUCUUCAUGUUUCAGAGCAAUUAAUUUUUUGUUGUUUCUCCAUUAAAAUAGAAAUAAUAAGGUAAUUUUAGAAGUUAAAAGCAGUAGUUUGUUAAUCAAGAAUGGCAUUCCUCUGCAUAAGAAUGUGGCUUGCUAUAAAGAUGUCUUAUGUAUAUUGUUAGUUCGUGUUCCUUUUCAUUUACUUCAGUAACCGAAAGUAGUUUUGCCAUCUGUUCUUCCUUUCACUUGCUCAGUAAGUCUGUGACAUGAAAACUUUAAUUCAUGUGGGAUCCAGCAAUCUUAUUUGUAGAACAUAUCACCUACAAGUUGCUUGAUUUCAGCUGUAUGAAAAAUGAGAAAUAUCAGAACAUAAUAUUAUCUUGCAUAGUGAAAAAGAGUUAUCUUUCUAUUUUUGUGUUGUAUAUUCAAAUUUUAGAGUUCUAUUUUUUUUUUUCUCCUCCAUUUUAAUCUUUUACUUCUCAAAUUUUUAUGAAGUCUUUCCUUUAUGGCACACCACAUGCCAGUGACUAAAAUCUUGCCCAAGUGAGCAGUCCUCCCUCUCCAUGCACUUACACUUGCCUACACCCUGCUUUGCCCAAACGUGAAAGACUCUGAAAAGUGGCAGAGGCUUUCAUCUCAAGUAUGAGGAAAUCCAGCUCGGUUUCUGCUUCACCAUGAAUUUUUUUCCCCCUAAAUGAACACUAAGUGACAAAAGAUGAUACAAAAACUCACAAACCAGAAUGGGAAUUCAUUCCUGAAUACUGCACAGCUUAGGGCAGAGCACCAGCUAGUGUAUGUAAGUACGAACUGCACUUGUGAAUGACAAAUCUAGUAACCUGACAAGUAAGAAUGGUUCACAUACUGCUUGCCUUUUGAAGUGAGGUUCAUCACAGUCGACAGUGAAUAUUUGUAACACAGCCUGAGUCGUGCAGAACCAGACAGGAGCAGUCCAAAUGCAUUAAAGUUUUAAUGAACUCAUAAGGUGUUUCUUCCUGCAGCCCUAGUAAAUAUGCAUACAUAAGAUGGGGGAGCUGAAACUGCUCCUUCUCACAAAUACUAGGCAAUGAACAUGAAAAGGAACACCCUGUGCCCAAAGUGCUACCAUUUUCUCCCAGCACAAAAGAAGUCAAUAAAUAAAUAAAUAAAUAAAUAAAUUCAGCUCUAGGAGCUCCAAGAAAACUUAGCUUAAGGCUGGGACUGGUAAUAGAAGCCAGCUCCUAUGAUGCUGUUAUUUGAGUUCAGGAAAAAAAAAUAAAUAAAUAAAUAAAAAAAUCAAUUUCUCUGUAGCUGAUAAGUGUUGACAUUACUAUCUUCCUGAUAGCUGCCACUAAUUGUGUUAGCAAACCAGCUUCUCAUUAAUCAUUUGUAGGAAGUCCAUGAUUCAGCUGGGUGGGUGAAUUUUCUUCUUUGUGAAAGCAGCCAGCUGUGGUCUGAGUCAUGGCCACAGCUUGUUAAGAAAAUACUAAGAAAUGUUAUGUGGUACAUGUGAAAAGAGGGAAAGAGACCAUCUAAAACACAAAGUGAUUCAAGCACCUGUGAUGCCCAGGAAGCAAGCAUAUGAGGAUGGUAAGGUCUGGAAAACAGAAUCUGUGCGAAAAGCCAAAAGAAGGGCAGGAUGUACAGAACACAAGUGUUAAUAAGAUAGUCAAUAAUUAAUAAGCUCUCAGAAAGGUCAUUCUACCUUCGAACACAGCUUGUAACAGAAAUGUUUUAUUCUGUCUAUUCCAGUGCUAGAUUAUUUUCUGUAGCCACAGAAAGUAAUUCUCCCACUAAUAAAUGAAUUGUUGCUGCAAAUAUAGCUUUCAUAUCCACUACAAAUCAGGUAGGAAGUACAGAAAUAAAGAAUAAAAUAAAGGAAAUUCAGAUUAGAACUGUAAAAGUUGUUUCUAUCUGUGAGGACAGGAAGAAGCCAGAACAGAUAGUCCACAUGAGUAGAGUAUCCACAAUCAAAUAUUAAAGAUUAUAAUCCAUACAUUAAUCAAAUGUUUUUGUAAAAUAGUUAAUCCUGUCUUGAAAAAAAAAAGAAGAUAGAAUAGUGAAAGCUUGAGACUCAAAUAGACAUCAUUUUGUACAGUUCAUAAGAUGUUCUUUGAUCAGGCAAGCAAAAUAGAUCCAGAAAUAUCUGCAAGGAAAUUAAUAAAUUGACAAGGAAAAAAAAAUGGCAUUGUCUGUGUCUUUCAAUGAAUCCUGAGUUUGAAAAGCAGAGUGGACAGCUGUUUGCUAGCAGGUUAAAUUUUCAAACAAGCCACCUACUUAGAAACAAGAUUGCCCUCUGCUGGAAAUUCAUGUUGGAAAUCUAAAUGCAAUGUAAAUUACUCUAAUUCUAAUUAAAUAGGAUUAAAAACAAACAAAUAAUAAUAAUAAUAAAAAGCUAACUAAAUAAACAGCUAGAUGAAGGAUAAUAGAAGAGCUUGUAUUACCUGUAAACUCAGACUGAGUUGUGCUGCCAUAAGCACUUUAGAACUGGUGUUUUCAGAGACGUUGAAAGUCAUGUACAGUAAAGCACAGCAUAAAUAAAUAUUUGGAAAGUUAAGUGAAGUAUAGCUUGUACUGAUUUGCAUUUCUUUGCAAAUAUCUGUGCUGAGGGUGAAAUGUGAUGAUAAGUCAGUUUCUGUUUCUUGAUGUCUAGUGGUGUCCAGAAUGAACUUUCUCUGUAAGAGUGUGGUUUUUUUUGUUGUUUUUGUUUUUGUUUUUUAACUAUCAUUCACUGUGAUAAAAAUUCAGAACAGCUGAACAAAAGCCUAUAAACCAACUUAGAUGUAAUGAUGUUGCUUUGAUAUUACUGGCAGUUUGAUCUUUUUACUGGAAUGAUAAAUAAAGAGUAAUUGUAGUAAUCAGAAGGAAACAUCUAAGAUAGAGAUGUCACCAUGUUUAAUUUCAGGCCUUUGGCGUAACUGUGCAAAACCAAGCACAGAUUCCUCUGUGCAGACAGAGAUAGAAACUUUGUUACUGCAUGGUUUCAUUGUAAUUCCUGAUGCAUUACAAAGAGAGUAAUGUAAUUGUGAUCUGUUUUGCAUGUGCAGCACAGUCCUCUGGCCAGAAAUUCUUAUCAACCUCGAAAAAACAGAGCACAGCCCUAAGCUAAAUAUCCUCUGCAUGGAUCUAAAUCAAACAAUAAAAAACAAUUUGCCACAGUGCAAUAUGGCUUCAUUGUUAUUAUUUGAUUGAUAAGAUAAUUUUACAGAGCCUGAGAAUAAAAUCAUUUCCUGUAUGAAGAAGAUAAGUGAAUAGAGUGAUGUUCUAAUGUUAAAGAGAAUUUAUUGAAAUUCUUUUUAAAAAAGAGUAAACAAACAAACAAAAAAGUACCUUCAAGGAAACAGAAGAAAUCCAGGGUUAGUACAAAGCACAGAUUUUUCAUAUUACUGGGAAGCCUACAGGCUUUGUAUCAUCCUCAGUCCUACUAUAGCAAUCCUAAUGCCUGUGGUCUGAAACCAAAAGCCCAGACACAGCUUCAAAAGGCUUGCUGUGAGAACCCACAAAAGGCUGAGAAGGAUUUGUAUGGGCAACCUAAGAUUUAUUAGAAUAUAAAGAAUACAGAAUAUAUUAGAACAUCAAACAGAGUCUUUUAAAAGAGAAAAAUGAAAGUGACAUUUCAGACUGUAUGGUGCAUCCUACAAAUGGUGAUUCUCAAUGCGGUGCUUUUUGGAAAUGCUGCAACCUCUGCACAUUUGUUGCUGUGUCAGAAGUGCUUCCUGUCAGUAAGAGGCAGGACUUAGUUUCUUUUCUUCACUGGUAGCUCAGCUACUUCCAGAAAUCAAUCUCUCCUUCACAGUUCCAUAUCUUUUAAUCUCCAUUGCAAAUGUACAUCAUAUAUCAGCAUAAAUGGGCAGCCCAGGGAGGUGGUGGAGUCAUUGACCCUGGAGGUGUUCAAGGAACAUUUAGAUGUUGUCUUGAGGGAUAUGGUUCAGAGAACUAUUGGUGAUAUGUGGAUGGCUGGACUGGAUGAUCUUGUAGGUCUU